GACGAACGCUGGCGGCGUGCUUAACACAUGCAAGUCGAACGGAAAGGCCCUGCUUGCAGGGUACUCGAGUGGCGAACGGGUGAGUAACACGUGGGUGAUCUGCCCUUCACUUCGGGAUAAGCCUGGGAAACUGGGUCUAAUACCGGAUAGGAGCCAUUUUUAGUGUGAUGGUUGGAAAGUUUUUUCGGUGUAGGAUGAGCUCGCGGCCUAUCAGCUUGUUGGUGGGGUAAUUGCCUACCAAGGCGGCGACGGGUAGCCGGGCUGAGAGGGUGGACGGCCACAAUGGGAAUGAGAAACGGCCCAGACUCCUACGGGAGGCAGCAGUGGGGAAUAUUGCAAAAUGGGCGCAAGCCUGAUGCAGCGAGGCCGCGUGGGGGAUGACGGCCUUCGGGUUGUAAACUCCUUUCGCUAGGGACGAAGCUUUUUGUGACGGUACCUAGAGAAGAAGCACCGGCUAACUACGUG
rnacentral:rRNA from 1 species